rnacentral:misc_RNA from 1 species
UGAGUAUAUUGAUGAGACAUGGAAUCAUAGCCCUUUGUUAAUGCCUCAGGAUCCUUAUGACAAAGCCAUGGCUCGCUUUUGGGCUGAUUUCACGGAAGAAAAGCUGCAUAAAGCUAUAAGGAGAACAAAAGUGUUUAAAGGAGAGGAAAAAGAGAGAGAAGUGAAUCAAGCAAAAGAAGCUUUACAAGUUCUUGAUGGGCUGCUGAAGGGCAAGGAGUUCUUUGGAGGAGACUCAAUUGGGUACCUAGACAUUGCAUUAGGCUGGGUCACUGUGUGGCUAGAAGUUUUUGAAGAACUUGCUUGUGUUAGAGUAUUUGAGAGCGAAAAGUGUACUCACAUAUACAAAUGGAUGCACAAAUUUGUGCAGCUACAAGUGAUCAAAGAGACUCUUCCACCUAAAGACAAGCUGCUAACUAUUCUUCAAAGUUAUGGCCAAUCUUCACCAGCUCAACUGCCAAGAAAAUGAUAUUUCCCUGCUUGUGAGUGGUGGGAAUUGAAUAAAAUUGCAGGCUGUGUCUGUGUGUGUUUAGCUUGCUUCUGUGAUUUGAGAUAUGUUGUUAUGGUUUUGUAAUCACAUAUUAGAACCUCUCUAAUAUGUAUGUCUUUAAUUUUUUUUCUGUGAAAUAAAAUGAGAUUCAGUUCUUUCGCAA